rnacentral:rRNA from 1 species
UGAGGAAUAUUGGUCUNUGGGCGAGAGCCUGAACCAGCCAAGUAGCGUGCAGGAUGACGGCCCUAUGGGUUGUAAACUGCUUUUAUGCGGGUAUAAAGGAGCAUACGUGUAUGUUUUUGCAGUUACCGCAUGAAUAAGGACCGGCUAAUUCCGUGCCAGCAGCCGCGGUAAUACGGAAGGUUCUGGUGUUAUCCGGAUUUAUUGGGUUUAAAGGGAGCGCAGGCUGUCAGAUAAGCGUGUUGUGAAAUGCGGUUGCUCAACAUCCGCACUGCAGCGCGAACUGUCUGACUUGAGUACGCACGACGUUGGUGGAAUUUGCCGUGUAGCGGUGAAAUGCUUAGAUAUGGCGAAGAACUCCGAUUGCGAAGGCAGCUGACGGGAGCGCUACUGACGCUCAUGCUCGAAAGUGCGGGUAUCGAACAGGAUUAGAUACCCUGGGUAGUCCGCACGGUAAAACGCUGGAUGCCCGCUAUAUGCCCCUUAGGGUAUGUGGCCAAGUGAAAAACGUUAAGCAUCCCACCUGGGAAGUACGCCGGCACGGUG